rnacentral:SRP_RNA from 1 species
GCUGGGCGUUGUGGUGGGUGCCUGUAGUCCCAGCUACUCAGGAGGCUGAGGCAAGAGAAUCGCUUGAGCCCGAGAGUUUGAGGUUGUUGUAAGCUGUGAUGCCAUAGCACUCUACUGAGGGCAACAACAACUAUAUAUAUAUACACACAUAUAUUUGGAGACAGAGUCUCCCUUUGUUGCCCACAGUAGAGUGCUGUGACGUUGCAGUUUACAGCAACCUCAAAUUCUUGGGUUUAAGCAAGUCUCUUGCCUCAG